AGAAGAGAGAAGGUGAUUGAUCCCAAAGAAAGCCAACACCUAGACUGAUAAAUGUUAUGGCAGAUUGGCAUCCUGUACUUUAAAAGAGAUCACUCCUUCC
rnacentral:sRNA from 1 species